rnacentral:tRNA from 1 species
UAAAAAUUAGUUAAUGUGUAUAACAUAAGUUUGUCAAACUUAAAUAAUUAGUAAAUAUUUUUAU